UAUUGUUCUUUCUUCCUCUUCCACUUCAUUUUCUGCUUCCUCUUUCCUCCUUCCUUCUCCUCCUUCUUUGAAGGGGCAAGGGAGUUACAGAAUUCCCUGGAUUCUCAGAAGUAGGAUUAUUGAGUUAAACCAGAAUAUAAAGGUUCAUUUCAAAUUUAAGAUACUGUGAUUCUAUAAACCCAGAGUAGAGUAAAAAGUAAUUUAUAUUUAUAUUUAUUAAACAACUACUAUAUCAAAUAAUUUUAUGCAUUAGCCUCCUUUAACAAAUAAAACUAAUAUGUUAUUUUUAAGUCCAAUUUACAGAUAUUUAAGGGACUUCAGUAAUUUCACACAGAUUUUUAAUCCAAGUUUUUUGGACUUUAAGUGCAGAUCUUCAUUAAAUAAGAAGCCCUCUCAAUUUUAAAUUGCACUUACUUAUACUAUAAUACACUCAACUUUUAAGAACACCUUACCAAUAGAAGAAUGUUAGCACGACUUUUACAUACUAAUUUAGUCUGUAAAUUAUAUUACAGCACACAGCUUCUUCUCACAAUAUCACUGUCAUUUUGUCCGCAAUGUGGUACCAAAAUGUAGCCAUGCUGAUUAUAAAAAUCUACAGGUAAAAUAUUAUGAUCAAUGAGAAAAUUACUUGUUGCUCUUGUUAUGAAUUAUUGAUUUUAUGUUUAAAUAUAAAAUGAAUUUUUUAUUAAGGAUGGAUCAUUUUUCUUAAAAAUACAUGUUGAUUGUUGCAUAAAAGAAACAAAAAGAAAAAAAAAACAGUAUGUGAAGAAAGGAGAUUAAAAAAUAGGAGACUAAAUAAUGUUUAACAAUCUUCAUUCAAAUUAUAGGCCUUUGAGUCAAGGGGUAGGAAGAGUCAUUUCUAUUAUUUG